UACAGAGGGGGCAAGCGUUGUCCGGAAUUACUGGGCGUAAAGCGUGCGCAGGCGGUUGUGCAAGACCGAUGUGAAAUCCCCGGGCUUAACCUGGGAAUGGCAUUGGUGACUGCACGGCUAGAGUGUGUCAGAGGGGGGUAGAAUUCCACGUGUAGCAGUGAAAUGCGUAGAGAUGUGGAGGAAUACCGAUGGCGAAGGCAGCCCCCUGGGAUAACACUGACGCUCAUGCACGAAAGCGUGGGGAGCAAACAGG
rnacentral:rRNA from 1 species